UGGUGGGUUGCCUUGUCAGGUUGAUUCCGGUAACGAACGAGACCUCAGCCUGCUAAAUAGUCACGGCCGGGACUCACCGGCCGGCGGACUUCUUAGAGGGACUAUUGGCGACUAGCCAAUGGAAGUGUGAGGCAAUAACA
rnacentral:rRNA from 1 species